rnacentral:rRNA from 1 species
CCCUAUUAUUUUGGAAUGUUAAGUUUUAUUUUGCCUGAGUAGUAUUAGUUAUGUUCUUGAAACUUAAAGAAUUUGGCGGUACCUCAUUCCUCCCAGAGGAAUCUGUCUCGUUAUCGAUAGUCCACGUUGGACCUUACUUGGAUUGCUUGUGGUUUGUAUACCGCCGUUUAUUGAUUAUCUUUUUAGAGUUUAAGUAAUUUUCUGGUCUCUUUAUUUUGAUUUAUUUCAGGUCAAGGUGCAGCUUGUUUCUAAGUGAAUGAUGGAUUACAUUAUUAUUUGUUUUUGGAUUGUUGAUUUAGAUAUUAACAUGAAAUUGGAUUUGGUUGUAAUGAUUUGUAGAUUGUUUUUAUGAUAGUGGUUCUGGGGUAUGUACACAUCGCCCGUCGCUCUCGUUCAAAAUUGUUAAUGAGAUAAGUC